rnacentral:rRNA from 1 species
AGAGUUUGAUCAUGGCUCAGAAUGAACGCUGGCGGCGUGCCUAACACAUGCAAGUCGCACGAGAACGCUUCAGCUUGCUGAGGCAAGUAAAGUGGCGCACGGGUGAGUAACGCGUGGGUAAUCUACCUCCGAAUUGGGGAUAACAUUGCGAAAGCGGUGCUAAUACCGAAUAACAUCCCCGAGACUCCGGUUUUGGUGAUCAAAGGUGGCCUCUACAUGUAAGCUACUGUUUGGAGAUGAGCCCGCGUACCAUUAGCUUGUUGGUAGGGUAACGGCCUACCAAGGCUACGAUGGUUAGCUGGUCUGAGAGGAUGAUCAGCCACACUGGAACUGACACACGGUCCAGACUCCUACGGGAGGCAGCAGUGAGGAAUUUUGCGCAAUGGGGGAAACCCUGACGCAGCAACGCCGCGUGAGUGAUGAAGGCCUUCGGGUCGUAAAGCUCUGUCAAGUGGGAAGAAUCUGCCCGAUGAUAAUACCAUUGGGCACCGACGGUACCACUGAAGGAAGCACCGGCUAACUCCGUGCCAGCAGCCGCGGUAAUACGGGGGGUGCAAGCGUUAUUCGGAAUCAUUGGGCGUAAAGGGCGCGUAGGCGGUCUUUUAAGUCAGAUGUGAAAGCCCUCGGCUUAACCGAGGAAGUGCAUUUGAUACUAAGAGACUUGAGUAUGGGAGAGGGAAGCGGAAUUCCUGGUGUAGCGGUGAAAUGCGUAGAUAUCAGGAGGAACACCGGUGGCGAAGGCGGCUUCCUGGACCAAUACUGACGCUGAGGCGCGAAGGCGUGGGGAGCAAACAGGAUUAGAUACCCUGGUAGUCCACGCAGUAAAACUGUGAACACUAGGUGUAGCGGGUAUUGACCCCUGCUGUGCCGAAGCUAACGCAUUAAGUGUUCCGCCUGGGAAGUACGGCCGCAAGGUUAAAACUCAAAUGAAUUGACGG